GAGUUUGGCUCAGAUUGAACGCUGGCGGCAUGCCUUACACAUGCAAGUCGAACGGCAGCACGGGAGCUUGCUCCUGGUGGCGAGUGGCGAGCGGGUGAGUAAUGCAUCGGAACGUAUCCUGGAGUGGGGGAUAACGUAGCGAAAGUUACGCUAAUACCGCAUAUUCUGUGAGCAGGAAAGCGGGGGACCUUCGGGCCUCGCGCUCUUGGAGCGGCCGAUGUCGGAUUAGCUAGUUGGUGAGGUAAAGGCUCACCAAGGCGACGAUCCGUAGCAGGUCUGAGAGGAUGAUCUGCCACACUGGAACUGAGACACGGUCCAGACUCCUACGGGAGGCAGCAGUGGGGAAUUUUGGACAAUGGGGGCAACCCUGAUCCAGCCAUGCCGCGUGAGUGAAGAAGGCCUU
rnacentral:rRNA from 1 species